UGGGGAAUAUUGGACAAUGGGGGGAACCCUGAUCCAGCCAUGCCGCGUGUGUGAAGAAGGCCUUAUGGUUGUAAAGCACUUUAAGCGAGGAGGAGGGUACUGGUAUUAAUACUACCAGGUACUGGACGUUACUCGCAGAAUAAGCACCGGCUAACUCUGUGCCAGCAGCCGCGGUAAUACAGAGGGUGCGAGCGUUAAUCGGAUUUACUGGGCGUAAAGCGUGCGUAGGAGGCUAAUUGAGUCGGAUGUGAAAUCCCCGAGCUUAACUUGGGAAUUGCAUUCGAUACUGGUUAGCUAGAGUGUGGGAGAGGAUGGUAGAAUUCCAGGUGUAGCGGUGAAAUGCGUAGAGAUCUGGAGGAAUACCGAUGGCGAAGGCAGCCAUCUGGCCUAACACUGACGCUGAGGUACGAAAGCAUGGGGAGCAAACAGG
rnacentral:rRNA from 1 species